UAACGAUAAAGCGGGUGAAAAGCCCGCUCGCCGGAAGACCAAGGGUUCCUGUCCAACGUUAAUCGGGGCAGGGUGAGUCGACCCCUAAGGCGAGGCCGAAAGGCGUAGUCGAUGGGAAACGGGUUAAUAUUCCCGUACUUGGUGUUACUGCGAAGGGGGGACGGAGAAGGCUAUGUUGGCCGGGCGACGGUUGUCCCGGUUUAAGCGUGUAGGUGUGUGUUCCAGGUAAAUCCGGUUCACUUUAACACUGAGGCGUGACGACGAGGCACUACGGUGCUGAAGCAACAAAUGCCCUGCUUCCAGGAAAAGCCUCUAAGCAUCAGGUAACACGAAAUCGUACCCCAAACCGACACAGGUGGUCAGGUAGAGAAUACCAAGGCGCUUGAGAGAACUCGGGUGAAGGAACUAGGCAAAAUGGUGCCGUAACUUCGGGAGAAGGCACGCUGACACGUAGGUGAAGUGAUUUACUCAUGGAGCUGAAGUCAGUCGAAGAUACCAGCUGGCUGCAACUGUUUAUUAAAAACACAGCACUGUGCAAACACGAAAGUGGACGUAUACGGUGUGACGCCUGCCCGGUGCCGGAA
rnacentral:rRNA from 1 species